CAGGCCUAACACAUGCAAGUCGAGCGCGCCUUCGGGCGAGCGGCGGACGGGUUAGUAACGCGUGGGAACGUGCCCAGAUCUACGGAAUAGCCACUGGAAACGGUGAGUAAUACCGUAUACGCCCUUCGGGGGAAAGAUUUAUCGGAUUUGGAUCGGCCCGCGUUAGAUUAGGUAGUUGGUGGGGUAACGGCCUACCAAGCCUACGAUCUAUAGCUGGUUUUAGAGGAUGAUCAGCAACACUGGGACUGAGACACGGCCCAGACUCCUACGGGAGGCAGCAGUGGGGAAUCUUGGACAAUGGGGGCAACCCUGAUCCAGCCAUGCCGCGUGAGUGAAGAAGGCCCUAGGGUCGUAAAACUCUUUCGCCUGUGAUGAUAAUGACAGUAGCAGAUAAAGAAACCCCGGCUAACUCCGUGCCAGCAGCCGCGGUAAUACGGAGGGGGUUAGCGUUGUUCGGAAUUACUGGGCGUAAAGCGCACGUAGGCGGAUUAGAAAGUUAGAGGUGAAAUCCCGGGGCUCAACCCCGGAACUGCCUUUAAAACUACUAGUCUAGAGUUCGAGAGAGGUGAGUGGAAUUCCGAGUGUAGAGGUGAAAUUCGUAGAUAUUCGGAGGAACACCAGUGGCGAAGGCGGCUCACUGGCUCGAUAC
rnacentral:rRNA from 1 species